rfam:Desulfitobacterium hafniense Y51 DNA, complete genome.
GGACAGAACUCUGGAGAGUUCCGCAAGGACGCCGAAGGGGCAAGACAGCAAAGCUGUUCAAUCUCUCAGGCAAAAGGACAGAGCGCAUAGU